rnacentral:rRNA from 1 species
UAAUACGUAGGGGGCUAGCGUUGUCCGGAAUCAUUGGGCGUAAAGCGCGCGUAGGCGGCCCGGUAAGUCCGCUGUAAAAGUCCAGGGCUCAACCCUGGAAAGCCGGUGGAUACUGUCGGGCUCGAGUCCGGAAGAGGCGAGUGGAAUUCCUGGUGUAGCGGUGGAAUGCGCAGAUAUCAGGAGGAACACCGAUGGCG